rnacentral:rRNA from 1 species
GUUAGGAAUAUUGGACAAUGGGCGAAAGCCUGAUCCAGCCAUGCCGCGUGAACGAUGAAGGCCUUCGGGUUGUAAAGUUCUUUAGCCGAUGAUUAUAAUGACUGUAGUCGGAAAAUAAGCCCCGGCUAACUUCGUGCCAGCAGCCGCGGUAAUACGAAGGGGGCGAGCGUUAUUCGGAAUCACUGGGCGUAAAGCGUGCGUAGGCGGUUUUGUAAGUUAGGAGUGAAAGCCCAGGGCUCAACCUUGGAAUUGCUCUUAAAACUGCAAGGCUCGAAGCUCGGAGAGGAUAGCGGAAUUUCCAGUGUAGCAGUGAAAUGCGUAGAUAUUGGAAGGAACACCAGUGGCGUAAGCGGCUAUCUGGACGAGUAUUGACGCUGAGGCACGAAAGCGUGGGGAUCAAACAGGAUUAGAAACCCCGGUAGUCC